rnacentral:rRNA from 1 species
GUCUACAGCCAUACCACCCUGAAUGUGCCCAAUCUCAUCUUGUCUCAGAAACUGAACAGGAUUGGGCCUGGUUAGUACUUGGAUGGGAGAUAGAUCUUCAAAAGAGACUGUUCAGAAACAGUUUAAA